rnacentral:rRNA from 1 species
AUUGAACGCUGGCGGCAGGCCUAACACAUGCAAGUCGAGCUAGCGGCGGACGGGUGAGUAAUGUAUGGGGACUGCCCGAUAGAGGGGGAUAACUCCUGGAAACGGUAGCUAAUACCGCAUACUAUCGGAUAACCCAUAUGGGAUUAGCUCGUAGGUGAGGUAAUGUCUCACCUAGGCGACGAUCCCUAGCUGGGCUGAGAGGAUGAUCAGCCACACGGGGACUGAGACACGGACCAGACUCCUACGGAGGCAGCAGUGGGGAAGAUUGCACAAUGGGCGAAAGCCUGAUGCAGCCAUGCCGCGUGUAUGAAGAAGGCCCUAGGGUUGUAAAGUACUUUCAGUCGGGAGGCGUUACCGACAGAAGAAGCACCGGCUAACUCCGUGCCAGCAGCCGCGGUAAUUC